rnacentral:lncRNA from 1 species
AGUUAUGUACCAAAACGACUGGGCUCCGGAACAGUGGAGCUCUCCCAAUCAGCAGAGUAGAUAUCCUAGGCGGGAGGAUCACCGAACUGUGCGUCUACACCUGCGGGCAUGAAACGCAGCCCCCCCGAGGAAAGGGGGGUCAGUACGGACAAUGUACUGAGUAUGUAAAGCAUAAGGUAAAGAUGACAGGAUGCCAAUAUGGCAAGUCGAAACAAAAUAUCACUACACAUAUACCCUUUUAAGUGAAAAUCAUGCAUAUAUUUAACAUUUAAGGUGCACAGCUUCCCUAGUAAGGGGCUCGGCAAAAUAAUCAUCACGUCAUCUCCGUCAUCAUCAUCAUCAUAACCAUCCUCAUCACCAAUCAUAUAUAUAAUAUACAUACCCGACCCUCUAGUGAGGAACUCGGUGACAUAUGCAAGAAACUCCGCACGAAUAUUACCCGGCCCGGGACUCGGUGAAAUGAUAAAUGACUCUAUGCACGAGCAGAAUAUUAUGAGCAACCAUAUGCAAUUAAAAUCAUUUCUUAUAACUCAAUAGAACAAUCAACGUGAACCAGCAAGGAGUAUUACCAAAGAUUAAUGUUUUAUCAAGAUUAUGAACCUUUAAUACGAUAUGGAAUCGUAAAAUCUCAAUGACUCUAAGAAGCAUUACCAUAGAGUCAUUUAUCAUUUCACCGAGUCCCGGGCCGGGUAAUGUUCGUGCGAGUUUCUUGCAUAUGUCAUCGAGUUCCUCACUAGAGGGCCGGGUAUGUAUAUUAUAUAUAUGAUUGGGUCUAAAUAGUACGUUCCGCUUGGACAUCCAUCUGAGGAUCAAAAGCGGUGCUAAGUUUCACUUGAGUCCCUAAACCCUUUGGGAAAGAUUUCCAAAAUGAGAAGUGAACUGGGCACACCUCUAUCCGAAACGAUGGACAAAUAAAUCCCAUGAAGACUCACAAUCUCAUUUAUAUAGAUUCUUGCAUAAUCUACGGCAGUAGAAGAAGACUUUACAGGAAUAAAGUGGGCAGAUUUGGUCAACCUAUCCACAAUAACUCAUAUGGAAUCAUUUUGCCUCCGGGUUCGAGGCAAACCCAAUAACAAAGUCCAUAUUGAUGGCCUCCGACUUCUAAGUAGGAACAUCCAUGAUUUGGGUUAAAUCACCCGGUUUUAGAUGCUCGAAUUUAACUUAUUGGCAGUUUAACACUUAGCAACAAACUCUGCAAUGUCCCUUUUUAAACUUUCCCACCAAUAGACCUCUCUAAGGUAAUGAUACAUUUUGGUGGCACUCGGAUGUAUAGAAUAAGGUGAACCAUGGGCCUCUUCUAGAAUUCAAUUUCUCAAAUCCUAAACAUCCGGUACACGUAAUCUCCCUUGGUACCUAAGAACACCAUCCCCCCGGGAGAUUGACUCAUUGAGCUUACUAAGUAUCGAUUCCUUCAAAUCCAUCAAUAGAGGAUCAAGGUGUUGCUUAGACUUCACCUCAACAACUAAUGAUGAGUCAGAUUUAUGAUGGACCAUAAAACCACCAUUUGGAGAAUCUUCUUAUCGCGCACCAAAGUCAACCAACCCAUGAACAUCUUUCACAAGGUUUUUAUUCUCUUCUUUCGCAUGAUACACACUACACAUAGUCACACUACUCAAAGCAUCCGUAACCACAUUGGCCUUUCUAGGGCGGUAAAGGACACUCAUGGGGUAAUCCUUCAACAACUUCAACCAUCUUCUAUGUCGGAGAUUUAACUCCUUUUGUGUAAACACAUAUUGAAGACUUUUAUAGUCAGUAAUAUCAACAUGCACUUAAGAAUAAUCACAUCCCCCCGGGAUAUUUUCAAGGCAAAAAGUACAGCAGCUAAAUCAAGAUUGUUGGAUAAUUCUUCUCAUGAAUUUUGAUUUGCCUAGAAGCCACUUACGAAGAAUCACAAUAUACUAAAAAGCCUUCAUUACCCUCCGGUAAGGUCAACACUGAGCGGAGGUAAGCUUACCUUUCAACUCUUGAAAACCUUUCUCAAAAGCUUCCGACGACUCAAAAUUCACCUUCUUUUAGGUCAAGUCUCUCAAAGAAGAAGCAAUGGACAAAAUCCAUCAAUAAACAUUCUAUAAUACUCGGCUAGACCCAAGAAACUCCUUAUGUUGGUGGGAGUCAAAGGUCCAGGCCAAUUUCUGACUGCAUCCGUCUUCUUUGGAUCAACCUCUACACCCUCAUCGGAGAUAACAUGCCCAAGAAAAGCAACUGACCUCAACCAAAAUUCAUUCUUGCUAAAUUUGGCAUAAAGUUGCUAUUCUUUGAGGACUUGCAAGGCCAACCUCAAGUGACUCUCAUGCUCAUUUUCAUUCUUGGAGUAUAUCAAAAUAUCAUCAAUGAACACAAUCACAAAGGAGUCAAGGUAAUCUCAGAAAACUCUAUUCAUUAGGUCCAUAAACGCCGCCAUGGCAAUUGUUAACACAAAAGACAUAACUUGAAAUUCAUAGUGACCAUAUCUAUUUUGGAAAGCUGUUUUGGGAACAUCUUCAUUUCUCACCCUAAGUUGGUGAUAUGCCAACCAUAAGUCAAUCUUGAAAAAGUAGCUAGCACAUUGAAGUUGAUCAAAUAGGUCAUCAAUUCGAGAGAGAUGAUACUUGUUCUUUAUGGUGACAUUAUUAAUUUGGCGAUAAUCAAUGCACAUUCUAAAAGACCCAUCAUUUUUCUCAACAAACAAGAUCGGAGCACCCCAUGGGGAAAUACUAGGCUGAAUAACACCCUUGUCUAGUAAAUCCUUGAGUUGGAUCUUCAACUCUUUCAAUUCAUCCAGAGCCAUCCUAUUUGGAGGAAUAGAAAUGGGAUUCGUAUUCGGUAGCAAAUCAAUGCCAAAGUCAAUUUUCCAUUCGGGCGGAAUUUAUGGAAGUUCAUUAGGAAAAACCUCUAGGAAUUCCCUCACUAUAGGGACUAAUUCAAUAGAACGAGUUUCACAUUCUAGGUCUUUAACCCUCACCACAUGGUAUAAACAACCCUUGGUUAUAAUCCUACAAGCCCUCAAGCAAGAAAUGAUUUGACCCCUUUGCAUAGAAUUUCCCCCCAUCCACUCUAGAAUGGGUUCGUUUGGAAAUCGAAACUUCAAGACCCUUGUUAUACAAUCUGUGGAAGCAAAACAUGCAUGAAACCAAUCCAUAGACAAAAUGAUAUCAAAGUAAAAAAUUUCAAGUUCUACAAAAUCAACAAGAGUGACUUCAUUGGGGCAGCAUUACAGGGCACUUCCUAUAGACUCUUUUUGCAACCACAGAGUCACCCAUUGGGGUACAAACUGAAAAGGGUUCAAUCAAAACAUUGAUAAAUACAUCAAACUUCCUAGAUACCAAAGUGUAACAAAAGAAAGGGUAGCACCUGGGUCAAGCAAAGCAUAAGCAUUAACAGAAAAAUGAUCGAGUUAAUUUUUACUUGUGAACCAUACUACACACAAAAAUGAUUUUAUGUGACGAUUCUUUAGCGACAACAUAUAUAUAUAUAUAUAUAUAUAUAUACAUAUAUAUUCGAAGUGAAAAUCUUGUGGCAAAUGAAUAUUACCAUGAAUAGAAUCAUUUUUAGCGACAAUUAGAAGAUAUGUCCAUAAAAGUUACGAAUACUUUUACAACUCAUCAAUAAUUAAAAUUUAAUUCGUUUGGCUUCCCUACGCUUUUAUUUUCAUUCCCCCCUUCACUUUUAUGUAUGUAUGCAAGGAAAAAAAAUUUCUACUUCACUUGCAAAUUGGCAGUUUGUGUUUAGUUUUUUUUAUUCUAAUUGUACUCCCUUUUUUAUAUCAAUUUCUUCUCUUCUUAGUUUUUCUCACGAGUUUUAAUUUUUAUAAAUUUAUUGUAAGGGUUUGCUUCAAAUUUGAAUAUCGAUAUUAAGGUUUCUAUUACGCAUCUAGGACUAUGUUCUUCUAUUUUUUUGACUGAUAUCAUUAUAGAACUGAAUCUUUAAAUUUUUGUUGACUAGAACCCGACUUGAAGUGAUUCAAAAUAAAAGUCAGGGAAAAAAUUAUGGUUGUUUCUGGUAAGGAUAUUUAAUUUUGACUUUAAUUAAAUAGAUAAAAGAAACUAUUUCAAUUUUUGAUUUAUAUGCUCGUGAAUUUAAGAUUUAUUGUACUCAUAUUUAUGAAUAUUGUAAUGAUGCCUUUUCUAAUAUGAAUAGAUUAGCAUUGUUUAUUUCUCAUGAAAAUGGUUGUUUGAGAAGUGUGGAUUUUUUCUCUCUUAAUGUUUGACCAAUGUUCGCCUCGAUGUUUCAGGUAUAUUUGAGUUCAUAUGUCUACUUUCGCAUGCAUAUUGCUUAUUUUCAACUAUAGUAAGUAUUUUUUAUUUAUUGACCAAAGUACUUUUGUUAAUUUCUUUACUAUAAUAUUUUUAUUAAUCAUGCAUAGAAUGCUUUAACUCAUUUAGUCAUGGACGGAUUUUAUAUUACUCAAUAUGAUGACAGAAUAAAGUUUAAGCAUGCAAUAACUAAUAUUCCGUAGUAUUGUAAGGAGAAAUUUCAUGAACAUACUAAUUUUAAGCAAUAAACAUAUGCUGGGGUAAUUAUAUUCCUGGUUUUAUAAUAGGCUAAAAAAUCAUCCAUGGUUGUGAUAUAUUUGGGUAAAAUAUUGCACCAGAAAAGAAGUAAGGACACAAAUAUGAUCAGUAGAAAACUAAAACCCAAUUAAUUGAAUCAAAUUACACUUAUAUUUGUUAAGAAGUGUUAUUGAUAAGUUAGACAUAAAUAUGAGCAUACUUUGUAAUACACCUCCAAAUAAGUGUACAGUUAAUAAUGAUAUUUAAAAUGGCAUUGAAUAUCAAGGUGAUUCUGAAAAAGGUAAGUAAUACUUAGAUAAUAUUUUAAAUUUUAAAAGAGAUUAUCACUUUCAAUCUAAAAGUUAACUUCUCUUCACUUUUGCUCUCUCUAGAGAUUAGCUUUAAAUGUAAAACUACUAAUAAUAUAGAGCAUGUAAAGUUAAUAAAACUAUAGAAAAUGACACUUUGUGUUUAUAUUGAUGAAUAUCAACUUGUUAAUUAUUUUUCUAUUUAUAGAGAUUUUCUUCGCUAGAUCACUUUAAGAAAAAUAGUCAAUGGAUUAAACAAUUUGUGCAUAGUAGCAUGGAUUCCAUAAGUUAUAUUUCAUAUUGCCUUCUACCUUAAGUAUUUGUAUUCCAAUAAUAUGAUGUUGUUAAGAGUUGCUUGAGAACUUAACUAGUCAACUUGUGAACCAGAGUAUUAAGGUAGUAUUUGUUUGUUAUAGAUUUGAUGUUUAUUUUUUUUCAUAUAAAAGUUCACUCCUACGAAACAUAUUUAUGUACCCUUUUAGUCCUUGAAGACUUGCUCAAAAAUCAAAAAUCAAAAUGGAAACUAAUUUCUUAAAUUACAUUAUUAUCUUCAACAACUGUGUUGAAUUGAUUAUGCCAUUUUAGCCUUUUUACAGUUUAACAUCGGUUUCCAUCGUUAUAGAAAUGUCAACGGGCAAUAAUUGGGACUCGAAAAACUUUUUUAUAGUAUUAUUUUCCCAACCUUGACCAGAUUUGCAGGAAUUUGGAGUCAUAAAGGUGUAGCGAAAUCUGGUAGCAAUCAAUUAGAGUAAAUGUGAAUUUGAUUGCAGGGGUGGUUAGAUAAGUCGUUGAGGAAUUCGUACGAAUUUAUGGAAUCAUAUAUGGAUAUAUAGCUCACUGCCUCAAAUCUUGCUUCUGUAGCGGUAUUGGUGUCGCUGUUGUGACUAUGCUACAUCGGGAUGGGUGUUAAUGUAGCAGUUAAGAAGGGGUUUGAAAUUAUGAGAUUUUGGGAUAUUUGGAAUGAGAGCUCAUUGGUUCAAAAACUGCCGCUGCAGCAGCGACGCCGCUACAGUGGGAUGGGUGCCGCUGUAGCAUAAUGGCGGGGUUUUAGUUCGUAAAUAAAACCCUUAAACAACAUUAUUUGGCACUUCUCGAAUUUUGAGUUGAAGAACGACCCUCAAUUUCAAUUCUUUUUUCACCAUUCUUAAAGCUAUAGGGAAGGGUUUCUUGAUAGAAUUAAUGGUGGGAACAACCCUAGUUUGGCUAUUUGGAGUCUUGAGUUUGACCUAGGGUUCAUGAAUUUGUUAAAGUUUCAGGAAUUUAGUGAUUUAUUUGUAACACUCCUAAAGUCUAAGAGCUAAUCUAGAGCCUAUCAUGAGUUUUUAAGGAUGAGUAAAAUGUUUUAUGAUCAUAUAUAAUGUAUAUAAUUCAUUUAGGAAGUUCAAAAAUUAAAACGACAAGAAUCGUCGAAGAUGUGUUUAGGGUUAGGGUUAUGAUAGGGUUAGGAUUAGGGUUAGGUUAGGGUUUAGGUUUUUUAGGUUUAAGGUUUGGGAUUUGAAAUUUAAAAUCAAUGGUUUAGUGUUUAAUGUUUUUGUUUUCGUAUUUUGGACGUAAUUUUUUUUUGGACGUUUUUUUUGGAGUUAGGGUUUAGGGUUAGGGUGUAGUUUUAUUUUUAGGUUUUGUCACACCCCAAUCCUAGGUGAGGCGGACAAGUACCUUACGAACACAUGUUUUACAAGUAAUCUAUGAUGAGAAAGUAAACUAUUAUGCAGAUUACUGAUGAAAACCUUUAUAUACAACAAAUGUUGACUAGCUGAACUAAUACACGUGACAAGUGAAACUAUGAAUACAUAUUAUAGCUUUACAAUGUCUAAGCCUCUAUGAAAUUCAUGCUUUGAAAAUAUGCAUAGUAAAGACUCGACAAAACCCGAAUCAACAUGGAGCUCACCAACAACAACUGAGUAUCAUGUGCUUCUAUUGGGGAUAUCUACUUUUGAAUACUUGUACCUACAACAUGAAAUGGAGCGCCCCAAUAAGGGAUGUCAGUACGAAAGAAUGUACUGAAUAUGUAAGGCAUAAUACAACCAUAUGUGACAUGGGAGCUCAAGUGAAAGGAAAUACCAAUAAAUAAGGAUUAGAGACCACCUUUGCUUAUACUUAUGGAAUUGUGUAUGUUACAUUCUUUUCUUUUCUUUUCUGUGAGUUAUAAUCUUUGUAAGCUAUAUGAUAGAAAUGACCAGCUGAUCAGUGGAAGGACAGGAUGACCCAUGCUAGCAUUUUAACCCCUGGGAUGCUGUCCUCAUAAUUCCUCAAAUUGGGAUUUGCCCAUCUUAGGCUUUUGCCCCUGAGCUGCUGCCCUUCCAUACAAAUUGGGAUCGACCCAUGAUAGGCUUUCACCCUCUUAUACCAAUAGGGAUCGGCCCAUGCUAUACCAAUUGGGAUCGACCCAUGCUAGGCUUUUCCUCUGGGCUUCCAUCAAUAAUUAUACAAAUUUCUUCAAUUAGAUUUUUUUAAUUUUGAGAUUGUUGCUUUUAUGUUCAUAACUCUUUUGAGACUGUGUACUUUGGAUAAUCAUAACUCUUUUGAGAUUGUUCUUUUGUUGAUAGUAACUCAUUUGGGAUUGAUGUUUUGGUGGUCAUAAUCAUUGUUGAGAUUUGGAACUAUGAACUAGUAGUAGAAGACAUACGAAUAUGGACAAUCGAUUAUGAAAAUGACGUGGGAAUCAAAUGUGACACCAACAUAAUACUUCUUCUAUGACUCUGUACAAAUUUUUGACAUCUCAAAUGGAAGCACAUACAAAGUGAAGACAUAUAACUUUCAGCCAAGAGAUUUGAACUCUAUAUGAUAACCAAAUACUCACCAACUAAUAUCAAAGACAAGGUAUUCAUGAAUGUGGAACCAAGGAAGAAUGUGGACAAAUUCAACUUAAGGACGGAUACAUAUUCCCAAGCAAGUACAUGCAUAUAAAUGUACAAUAGAGCAAGUCGACAUCUUGUGAGGCAUCAUAAUAGUCUAACAUAAUAAGAGUAAUAACCAAUAAAGGGAACAUAUGAACAUGUGAAAGAUGAAAUUAUAUGAUGGAAUAGACUAUUGAAGCAAGUUGGCAAGAUAUGGGCAGAUCGUGUAUCCAUCAUAUAAAUAUAUGUACCAUGUGUAAUCUAGGACCACUUUGACUUCUAAAUGGGAAGUACAUGCCAGGGAUACUUUGACAGUGAAACAAGUUUAAACCUUGCAUGCUAACACUUGGUAGAGCAAAAAUGCACAUUUAUUAAUAAAUUCAUAGCAGAGUGCUCAUUUUAAUUCUCUAGAGAGUACGGACUGAAUUUAUGGAUCAUUCACUACCAAGAGCACUUAGAAAGCUUACAAGUGUUGGAUUCAUGCCAAGGAAAUAGGAAAAUCGAAUAGCCUUACAUACCUUGCUGCACAACAAUGGGUAUCACAAUGAGUUAACCAUCUUACUUUAGGGUUAUUUAUCUACAAUGGAGUAAAUAAUAAAAGUUAAUAUUAGUUUCUAAACAAGUUUGGGCUACUUGAUCAGAACAAAAAAUAAUUGGCAGUAUAUCUAUAGUUGAUCCUAUCUAGAGUUCUUCCCAUCCAUUUUCCCCUAAUCAUUUUUAUAAGGUCCUUCGAAACCCCUCGGGUUUACCUCGUCUAGAAAACAAUAUUAAAGGAAUGGCAGGAAGUAAGCUCAUGCAACACUCAAUUAAGUUGUGUAUCACUACACUUUCAAUGUUCUAUACUCUAACCAGUUUUCAUGACUUCUCUACAUAUCCUGCCAGACCCUCUUAUUUAUAUGAUACACAAAACAGUCCCUAAGCCUCACAAUGUGGAAAUAGCAAUAUGAACUCAUGACUUCUGAUCAACAUCCUGUGAAUUUUCAACUAACAUUUAGAUUCUCAAAACAAGCUCACAAUCAAAAUCUAAGGGGAGUCAACUCCAUGUAUGUCGCAACAAGCACCUCCUUCCUGAACAUUCAUCAAGCUCACACCAUACAGAGGCAACACUCAACAUUUCAUUAACACAUGCAAACUUUUACAAAUAAUGCAAGAACAAGAGAGGGAUGGAAAUUCCCACAGCUUACCUUGCUAGACAGAAACCUCACUUGUCAAGACUUGGAUUCUUCAAGGUUUAGGUUGUCCUCUCUAACUUACCUUGAUGUUAAAUCAGAUUACUUGAAUUCCUUCAGAUUGGAGAUGUUCUACCAGCUUGUACUUUAAAAACACUUGUUUCCUUCAGAUUCUAAUGGUGAAGGUGUAGAACAGAACUCUUGGAGCUUCCAUGGCUUUCUUUGGGAGUAAUUUCUGGAGAAUAAGUAUGAAGGAGAUAUGAUUAAUGCUUUAGAGUCCAUUUUGGACGUUUUCCCUAUGAUAAAUUGGGAAAUAAUAUGGUCCUUUACUUUAUGAAAGAAGGUGCAUCACCUCCUUAGUUUCUGCCACAUGUUUUUAAGUAGCUGCAUCAGCUACUUGCUUUUUUCACUUAAAUUCAGACCACUUAUUCUAAGUAGGUGCAUCACUUAAUUUCUCCUUUAAAAUUCAGUCCACUAGCACCUACUUUCUCCUUUUAACAUAAAAUUAAGUCCACUAAUUCUAAGUAGGUGCAUCACCUACUUGCCCUUUUUCACUUAACAUGCAGUCCACUGAUUCUAAGUAGGUGCAUUACCUACUUGUCACCUACUAGCAUAGUUUUGUCAAGCAAGAACCUAUAUUCAAUUAUUCAUAUAUGUGUUGGAAUGUACGGGGUGUUACAACUUCAAACAUAUUCUAUUGUCACCAGUCGCAUAGGUAACCGAGUCCAUAACUAUACCACAAGGAAACUUUAAAGCGACAUAUACAUAGAACUAGUUCAAGUAGAAUACGGGGUGUUACAGGUUUUAUGGUUCAAGGUUUAGCAUUUAUGGUUUAAAAUCUAUGGUUUAGUAUUUAAUGUUUGGGUUUUUGUAUUUCGAGCUUAGGGUUUUGGGUUUAUUGUUUAGUGUUAAGGUUAGAUUUAGGGUUAUGGGUGUUUUUGGUACUUAGAAUUAGGAUUUGAGGUUUAAUAUCAAUGAUUUAUUGUUUAACGUUUGGGUUUUUGUAUUUUGGGAUUGGGGUUUAGGGUUUAUGCUAGGGUUAGGGUUAGGGUUCAGGUUGUUGUUUAGGUUUCAGGGUUUGAGGUUAAAUAUUUGAGUUGUAAUAUCUAUGGUUUAGUAUUUAAUGCUAGGGUUUUGGUAUUUUGGGCUUUGGGUUUAGGGUUUAGGGUUAGAUUUUGUAUUAGGGUUAGUGUUUAGUUUUUUUUAGGUUUUAGGUUUUGAGUUUUAGAGUUUUUAUUUGAAAUCUAUGGUUUUGUGUUUAAUAUUUAGGUUUUGGUAUUUUGGGCUUGGGGUUUCGGGUUAAUGGUUUAGGGUUAGGAUUAGAGAUUAGGUUAGAGUUAGGGAUAGGGUUAGGGUUAGGGUUUAGGUUUUUUUAGGGUUUUUUUGUUUAGGAUUUGAGGUUUAAAAUUUAUUAUUUAGUGUUUAAUAUUUAGGUUUCGGUAUUUUUUGACUUAGCAUUUUUUUUGGACUUAAGGUUUAGGGUUUAGGGUAUAGGUUUGGGGUUAUGGUCAGGAUUAGGGUUAGGGUUUUGGAUUUUUUUAGGUUUUAUGAUUCAGGGUUUAGAAUUUAAGGUGUAAAAUUUAUGGUUUAGUAUUUAAUGUUUGGGUCUUGGUAUUUUAGGCCUAGGGUUUUGGGUUUAUUUUCUAGGGUUUGGGUUAGGGUUAGGGUUACAAUUAGGGUUUUGGUUUUUUAGAAUUUUGUGUUUAGGAUUUUGGAUUUUAGGUUUAAUAUCAAUGGUUUAGUAUAUGAUGUUUGGGUCUUGGUAUUUGGGCUUGGGAUUUAGGGUUUAUGGUAGGUUAGGGUUCGGGUAGAUGUUAGGGUUAGGGUUAGGGUUUAGGUUGUUUUUUUAGGUUUUAGGGUUUGGGGUUAAGAAUUUGAGUUGUAAUAUCUAUGUUUUAGUGUUUAAUGCUAGGGUUUUGGUAUUUAAGGUUUUGGAAUUUGGGUAAAGGUUAAGGAUAGGGUUAGGUUUUGGGGUUCAGGAUUUUUUGUUUAAAAACUAUGGUUUAGUGUUUUAUGCUUGGGUUUGGUAAUUUUUUUUAGUUGAAUUACCCUUGGAGGGCUAGGGGCUGAGCAACACCCAAGGCCAUAUCAUUAAUAACAAAAACAAAUUACAAGGAGGGGGGAGACUAAGCACCCAAAGGCAGUCAACUCCUCUCUUACACAAAAGAUGAAACCAAAAUACUGAGCACCUAAGUAGAGGACUCCUCUCAAUACAAAGUAUCUAGGAAACAUAAACUAGGGAGACUCUCCCUUUACAAGAAAUCCUAAACCAAAACUAACCUAUUCAAAGUAGCUAUAAUUUUAAUAAUAGCUAAAUUGAAAAGAUAUACAAUCUCAAGGAGGUUUAAAAAUUCUCUUUGUCUUUUUUCUUCUAAAAUUAGGCAUCUCCAAUAAGUCAAGGUGAUAGUAGGCCUUUGCUCCUUUAAGCAAUUGAUGGCUGUUGAAAUAUACCUGAGGAGUGGCAGUGUUGUGACUAUGUUUUGUCAAUGCAUCUGCUACGCAAUUUGCAACUCUGGAUACAUGAAUGCAUUUGAAGUUGUUUACUUGAGCGAUAAGAUGUUGCAGCCUUCCAAGUUGAGUGAUGAUACUCCAUUGAGGGACUGCCUUCUUUAGGACCCAUUGCACUACUAGUUGAGAGUCAAGUUCCAAAAUUAUGUUCCUGUAUCCAAGCUCAAGUGCCCAAGUUAAACCAAAGAUGGCUGCCUCUAUUUCAGCUUUGUUGUUUGUCCCUUCUCCAAGUGGUGUUGUGAAGGCCAUCACCAAUUUUCCAUGUUUGUCUCUCAAGAUUCCACCCGCCCCCAGCCUUCCAGGGUUUAUGAGUGCACUGCCAUCAGUGUUCACUUUGAGCCACUGACAUGCUGGUUUAAGCCACUUCACCAUGUUCACCUUGAUGUCAUGCACACACUUUUCACUCUUUUGGAUUAGAUCAGUCCACUUUGCAGGCUAUUGAAGAUGCGGAAAUGCAUUGUUCAACAUUUUGAAGUUGUCUUUGUAAAGUGCAUACUUCACCCUGCUGAUGUUGGUUGCUUUACCUCCAUACUUGCAGGCACACCUGUUCUUCCACAGUUUCCAGCAGAUGAAUAUUGGAGUAGCUUGUAGCAGCAGUUUUUGGGCUGUAUUUUUGGAAUUUGUUGUCCACCAUUGGUGUAGCAGCAUCUGCAGUGAGGAAUGGUCCGGCUUUAGGCCUGCACUUCCUGCAAAAUAAUUCCAUACCUUGGCUGCAAAUUGCCCUGAAUUGGAAGUGUGUCCAUACCUGCUUUAUCAAGACAACAAAAACAAAAUGAUGGCUCAAUGCCAAAGUUAGUCAAUAUUUCAUUAGUAGGGAGUUUAUCCCUAAGGGUUCUCUAUAGUAAAAAGGAAAAUUUAAAAGGAAUGCUCUUAUGCCAUAGGAAGGAAUUGAAAUGGUUCUUGACUCUUUUAUCCCUGAUUUCCUCCCAAGCUGAAGAACAGGUGAAGCUCCCAUGAUUGUGGAGUUUCCACACUGCCUUGUCUGGAAUGUGUUGCUGUGGAGAUAUCUCUGUUAUCAAUAUGUUGGAGAACUGGCUGGAUGGUACCUGCCCUAUCAGCUUGCUCCAACUCCACUUCCCUUCCUCCCAGAAAUCUGCCACUGUAGAGUUGUUGAAUCUGUUACUAUUGGUGGUGAAUUGUGCUAAUGGUCCAAUAUGCCAAGCCAAUUAUCCCACCAAAAGGAACAAUUUCCAGCUUGAAGUUUCCAUUGUAUGUGUUGUUGUCUGCUCAUCAGCAUGUAUUUCCAGGUUAAAGAGUCUCCAUUAUCCCAUUUUUUGCUGACAGGAUUGGACCUUUGACAGUAUUUUGCUCUCAAAAAAUCUCCCCACAAGGUCUGUUUGGUUCUAAAAAUCCACCAUUGUUUGAAAUGAAAGGCCUUGCAAAUGUCUUUAAGAUUCCUCAUGCCCACUCCUCCCUCAUCAUAAGGGAAGCUUAGGUUUUUUCAAGAAGCCCAAUGGUCCCUCUUCCUAUCACUUUUCCAUCCCCAGAAGAAGUCAUCCAUAAGCAUUUGAAUUUGUUUAAGCACAGUAAUUGGAGGAGUUACUGCAGAAAGUAGGUGAAUAGGGAGGGCCUGUAACACAUGUUUUGUAAGAACUGCCUUUCCACCAUAGCUAAGUUGUUUAGUUUACCAACCUGUAAUCCUGCCAAUAACUUUAUUCAUAAGGUCAGAAAAAUAUAUAUUCCUAGGCCUACCAACAAAUAAAGGGCAGCCUAGGUAAGUAAUUGUUAUGCCUCGUAUUUUUUUUAUACGUAGUACGCGUCAUGAUCUAGUAGACGUAAGUCCGGGGAAUGAGAUUUUAUUUUAAGUUCCAAGUGAUUAAAGAAUAUUAGGCCUGGAUGUUAAUUCCAAAUGUGAUAUUAAGUAUGAUUUGGCUAAUGUAAGUGCCAUUAACUUUAAGUGAGGGAUUAAUUAGUGGCUGAUUAGGAUUAAUUUAAUCCAGUGGGCCCAACCACUCAUAAUUAGUGGCUGAUAGGAUUAAUUUAAUCCAGUGGGCCCCACCACUCAAGGCAAAAAAAUUAAAAAGGGAUCAGAUUGGGAGCUGGCCUUAGUGGACACGUGUAGAGGGGGGGCUACCUCCACUUCAUAUUAUAAAUGAGGUGGAGAAAUCCACUCCAUACUAAAUAAAGUGGUGAAAUGCAUUGCUGCAUAUCAUCUUCUUCACCACUUGGCUUAGGCAGCCAUGGAAAUGGAGAAACCAACCCUGCAACUCUUGGCCAGCAGCUGCAAAUAAUCUGGUUAGUAAUCUCCUUGCUUGGUGUGUUAAUUCUUUAGAAUACCUUGUUAAUUAUCCAUUAAUAUUAAGAAGGGGGCGUGUCCAGUAGCUUAGGAAGUUUGUUUUAGUUAUUGAAUAUGCUAAGUAUGAACGGAAACCAUAAUCGGAUUAUUAGUGGUGUCGUGUUGGUGCUUGGGCUGUUUUGAUUAAAGUAAACUGCAGGAAAAUUCUGUUUUGGCAUUAUGUAUAUGUUGAAUGUGAUUAUGAGUAUAUACUCCAAAGGAUGAAUACGAUAAGGUAGAUGUGUUGCGAAUUAUAAAAUAACUUAUCGCUCGGUGUGUCGUUGCUUCGCUGCUAUGGUUGCCGAGACGGAACUGUUUUGGGGAGGGGCCUGUUUAAUAUGAUUCGUUGGGUUAUAUGUGUUAUUGGUAUUGUUGUGGAUAAUUUGGGUUGUUGUCGAAUUGGGACGAAGUAAGGAAAAUAGGGGAAGUGCUGCCGGAUUUUUGUUAUAUUAUUAGCUAGCUUACAAGAUAGUUAAGCGUGAUGUUUAUCUAAUGGCGGCACGAUUGUUGCUUGUUAUAUAUUAGUAGCUUGAGCAGUAAAUAUUGGACGUGCGGCUCGACUAUACGGUAUGUAACGCUGUCCCUUGUUUCUUUGUUUGGCAUGACUUUUAAAAAUAAGCAAAUAACAAAUAGGUUUGAUACUUACCUCUAGAGCGUCUAGGUGACGUAUAUUCUUGCUUCCACAAUUAUUCCUCUAUAUGUCGGCUAUGUCUAAGGCUAUGAUGAUUUCUCAUAUCUAUGGUAGUGCUACUUAGAGUCAUUGAGAUUUUACGUUUCCAUAUCGUAUUAAAGGUUCAUAAUCUUGAUAAAACGUUAAUCUUUGGUAAUACUCCUUGCUAGUUCCCGUUGAUUGUUAUAUUGAGUUAUAACAAAUGAUUUUAAUUGCAUAUGGUUGCUCAUAAUAUUCUGCUCGUGCAUAGAGUCAUUUAUCAUUUCACCGAGUCUCGGGCCGGGUAAUGUUCGUGCGGAGUUUCUUGCAUAUGUCACCGAGUCCCUCACUAGAGGGCCGGGUAUGUAUAUUAUAUAUAUGAUUGGUGAUGAGGAUGGUUAUGAUGAUGAUGAUGACGGAGAUGACUUGAUGAUUAUUUUGCCGAUUCCCUUACUAGGGAAGCUGGGCACCUUAUAUGUUGAAGAUAUGCAUGAUUUUCACUUAAAAGGGUACAUGUGUAGCGAUAUUUUGUUUCGACUUGCCAUAUUGGUAUCCUGUCAUCUUUACCUUAUGUUUUACAUGCUCAGUACCUUGUCUGUACUAACCCCCCAAUCCUCGGGGGGCUGCAUUUCAUGCCCGCAGGUGUAGACGCACAGUUCAGCGAUCCUCCUGCCUAGGAUUACUCUGCUGAUUGGGAGAGCUCCACUGUUCCGGAGCCUAGUCAUUUUGGUACAUAACUUUUUGUGUAGUCUUUUGCUCGUCUAUGGGUAAGGCGGGGCCCUGUCCUGUCGAGUUUCACUACUAUCCAAAACGGGCACUAGUCACGGCCCAUUGGGUUGGGUCGUGACAAAGAGUGGUAUCAGAGCGGUUCUUCCUCGGAAGUGUCUGCAGACCGUGUCUAGUAGAGUCUUGUUUAUCGGUGUGUUGUGCACCAUAUCUAUAAACAGGAAGCUACAGGACAUUUAGGAUGUCAUCUUUUCUUCUUAUUCUAGAUCGUGCGAUAGAGCUAUAUUAACAGGAUAAUCCCUCUCUAACGAAUCCGUGUGUUUUCAGCUAUGCCUCCAAAGAAAGCGACAGCCGCCUAAAAGGGCAAAUCGGUAGCAGAAGGUACUAGUCAGACCAGGAGAGUUACUAGGGCCCGUGCGCAGUCUAUGCCUGGUAUUAUGCUCCAGUCGAAGAGCUCUGCUACACCGCCACGGCCAGAGGAUCUUAGAGCAGCAGCAACUCCAGUUUGGGGGACACCACCAGCCCCCGAGGCCCCAGCACCUGAACCUCCAGCUCCUCAGUCAGGGGCGGAGGAUAGGGCCUUGAGAGAUGUUGUUCAGUUGCUGACUAGAUUAGUGGAAGGUCAGGCUUGCAGGCAUGGACUAAGAGUUGAUCAUGCGGACAGAUCUGAUAGCUUAAGGACUCGUGACUUCUUAAGUUGUAAUCCUCCAUAGUUGUUUGGCUCAAGGCCCCAGGAUGAUCCGCAAGAGUUUAUUCGUCAGAUGCAGUGUACAUUGAGGAUAAUCAAGGCUUCGGAGACCGAGUCUGUUGAGUUGGCUACGUAUUGUUUGUGGGAUGUAGCUAUUAAUUGGUAUGAGUCUUGGGAGUUAUCUAGGGGUGAGGGUGCUCCUCUAGCAGUAUGGGAUGAAUUUAUGGAGGCUUUCUAGGGCCACUUCCUGCCUCCAGAGAUGAAGCGACCUAGAGUCGAUAAAUUCUUGUGUUUGAAGCAAAAUGGCAGGAGCGUUCGAGAGUAUAGCCUCGAGUUUUAUUCAUUGGCUAGGCAUGCGCCUACUAUUGUGGCUGAUAUGGCAGACAGGGUACAUCGUUAUGUGAUGGAUUGGAUCAUUAUCUGAUUAACGAUUGUAUGACAGUGACUCUUCAGCCAGGUGUGGAUAUUGCUCGGGUGCAGGCAUAUGCACAGGGGGUAGAGGAUCGGCACCGGGGACGUCAGCCAGAUAGAGAUUCUAAUAGAGGCCAACAUAAGAGGGCUAGAUCAGCAGGUUAUCCUGACGAGUUUCGAAGCGGGCAGUCUCAGCAGCAUGUUAGAUUUUCUUCCCAGUCAGCACAGAGUGCACCCCUAUGUUUCAUGGGUAGGGGGUUCAAUCGUAUGGGAUAUUCAGAAGCUGGUCAGAGCUCUAGGGCGUCAGGGUCACAGAUGGGCAGGGGUUUGAGCCAGUCGAGGCCACCUUUGCCUGGGUGUUCUCGCUGUGGUAGGUCCCAUCCUGAGGAAUGUCGUUGGGCUACAGGUGCGUGUUUUUCUUGCGGCCGUCAGGUCCAUACUAUGAGGGAGUGUCACCUUACAGGUAGUGUAGGUGGUAUGGCACAGCCUACUGGGUCCAUUGCUGGUUCAUCUUCUUCUGUGGCUAUGCGCCCUACGGGGCAAGGUAUUCAGGCGCCAGUAGGCCGUGGUAGAGGACGUGGUGGAGCUUCCAGUUCUAGCGGUCCCUCGAACCGUAUAUAUGCUUUGACUAAUAGGCAAGAUCAGGAGGCGUCACCUAAUGUGGUCACAGGUAUAUUAUCACUAUUCUCCCGAAGUGUGUAUGCAUUGAUAGACCCCUUCCACCUUAUCAUAUAUAUCUCCCUUUGUUGCUAGUAGGAUCAGAAUAGAGUCUGAGUUGAUAGAACCAUUUGAGGUAGCUACACCUGUAGGAGAUUUUGUCAUAGCUACGUGAGUAUAUAGGAAUUGUUCAGUAGUUAUAUAUAGUCGUCGUACGGUAGCAGAUCUAAUAGAGUUAAAUAUGAUUGAUUUGAUAUUAUCAUGCGCAUGGAUUGGUUGGCUGCUUGCUAUUCUAAUGUUGAUUGCAGAGGAAAGAUAGUUCGAUUUCAAUUUCCAGGGGAACCGAUUAUAGAGUGGAAGGGGAGUACAGUAUUGCCGAAAGGUAAGUUUAUUUCAUACCUUAAGUCCGGGAAGAUGGUUACAAAAGGCUGUAUUUACCAUUUGAUUCGGGUGCAUGACAUAAAGGCAGAGGCACCGACUCUUCAAUCAAUCCCGGUAGUUAAUGAAUUUCUCUAUGUAUUCCCCGAGGAACUUCCAGGCCUUCCUCCAGAACGAGAGAUAGAGUUUACUAUAGAUGUACUGCCAGAUACCCAGCUUAUAUCUAUACCUCCUUAUAGAAUGACACCUGCUGAGUUGAAAGAAUUGAAAGAGCAAUUGAGGGAUUUGCUAGAAAAUGGCUUCAUCAGGCCUAGUACGUAACCUUGGGGAGCACCGAUACUUUUUGUGAGGAAGAAGGAUGGGUCGCUGCGGAUGUUUAUUGAUUAUAGGCAGCUGAACAAAGUAAAAAUAAAGAAUAGGUAUCCCCUCCCAAGGAUUGACGAUCUAUUUGACCAGUUGCAGGGUGAAAAGUGUUUUUCAAAGAUAGACUUGCGGAUAGGUUAUCAUCAGGUGCGGGUAAGGGAGGCAGAUAUUUCAAAGACGGCAUUCCGGACCCGAUAUGAGCAUUAUGAGUUUAGAGUGUUGUCUUUUGGGCUGACUAAGCUCCAGCGGUGUUUAUGGAUUUAAUGAAUCGAGUAUUUAAACCAUUCCUUGAUAUGUUUGUUAUUGUAUUUAUAGACAAUAUUUUGGUCUAUUCACGUUCAGAAAGGGAGCAUGCAGACCAUUUAAGGACGGUACUUAGGGUGAUUCAGCACCAGAAGUUGUAUGCUAAAUUUUCUAAGUGCGAGUUUUGGUUGAAUUCAGUGGCAUUCUUGGGGCAUAUUAUUAGAGCUGAUGGUAUUCGAGUAGACACGUAGAAGAUUGAGGCGGUAAAGACUUGGCCCAGACCUACGACACCUACUGAGGUACGUAGCUUUCUGGUUAGCAGGAUAUUACAGGAGAUUCGUAGAAAAGUUUGCCUCAAUUUCAGCGCCUUUGACAAGGCUAACUCAAAAGGCAGCCAAGUUCCAGUGGACUGAUGCUUGUGACCGAAGCUUCCAGCUAUUGAAAGACAAAUUGACUACAGCUCCAGUCCUAACUCUUUCGGAGGGAUAAAGACGGCUAUGUUAUUUAUUGUGAUGCUUCGGGUGUUGGUCUAGGAUGUGUAUUGAUGCAGCAUGGCAAAGUUAUAGCCUAUGCCUCCCGACAGUUUAGGAAGCAUGAAAAGAACUAUCCUACUCACGAUCUGGAGUUAGCGGUCGUGGUUCAUGCCUUUAAGAUAUGGAGACAUUAUUUAUAUGGUUUCCAUGUGGACAUCUAUACAGAUCAUAAGAGUCUCCAAUAUAUCUUUAAACAGAAGGAGCUGAACUUACGACAGAGGCGGUGGUUAGAGUUGCUAAAGGAUUAUGAUGUUGAUAUUUUAUAUCAUCUAGGGAAAGCGAAUGUUGUAGCAAAUGCUCUUAGUCGUAAGUCCAUGGGUAGCUUGACAGAUGUACAACCAGAAAGGAGGGAUAUGGUUCAGGAGAUUCAGCGCUAUCCAGCCUUGAAGUCCGUAUGUCUAAUUCAGAAGAUAGUGGAGUUUCUAUUCGAGAGGUUGCUGAGUCCUCAAUCAUUGAUGAGGUAAAGAGACACCAAUACAAGGACCCUAUUCGGGCAUAGUAUAGAGAUGCAGCUCUUCAAAAGGAAAAGACCCCAUUUAAGGUUACACCUGACGAAGUGUUACGAUAUGAAGGCAGAUUGUGUGUACCUGAUAUUGUUGGCUACGACGCCAGGUUAUGGGAGAGGCACACUCUGCCUGUUAUUCUAUUCACCCAGGGUCAAAGAAAAUGUAUCAUGAACUCAGAUGCUUAUAUUGGUGGGAUGGCAUGAAACAUAGCGGAGUUUGUUGCUCAGUGCUUGAAUUGUCAACAAGUCAAGAUCGAACAUCAAAAGCCUGGUGGAUUAUUACAGGAGAUAGAGAUCCCGACUUGGAAAUGGGAGAUGAUUAAUAUGGACUUCAUACAGGCUUACCUCGCACUCAAUGGAAGUAUGACUCUAUAUGGGUUAUUGUAGAUAGGCUGACGAAAUCGCCCAUUUUCUUCCUAUCAGGACUACUUAUUCGGCUGAAGAUUAUGCGAGGUUAUAUGUCAGGGAGAUAGUGAGACUUCAUGGGGUUCCCACGUCCAUUAUAUCAGACAGAGGAGCUCAAUUUACAACCAACUUUUGGAGAUCGUUUCAGAAGGGAUUGGGGCCACAGGUGAACCUUAGCACAACAUUUCACCCUCAGACUAAUGGGCAGGAUGAGCGUACUAUUCAGACAUUAGAAGAUAUGUUGCGGGCCUGUGUUAUUGACUUCAAAGAUAGCUGGGAUGACCACUUGCUGCUCAUUGAGUUUGCCUAUAAUAAUAGCUACCAUUCUAGUAUCCAUAUGGCACCGUACGAGGCCUUAUAUGGGAGGAAGUGCAGAUCACCUAUUGGUUGGUUUGAUGUUGGCGAGACUAAGUUAAUAGGCCCGUAUGUGAUUCAGCAAGCUGUUGACAAGGUGAAGCUUAUUCAAGAAAGAUUAUUAGCAGCCCAGAGUCAACAGAAGUCAUAUGCAGAUAAUCGGCGUCGAGAUUUGGAGUGUCAGAUUGGUGACUGGGUAUUCCUGAAGGUAUCACCCAUGAGGGGUGUUAUAAGAUUUGGCAGGAAGGGGAAGCUUAGUCCGAGAUACAUUGGGCCUUACCAGAUUGUUCGUAGGAUAGGCAAGGUUGCCUAUGAGUUGGAUCUAUCAUCUGAUUUGGAGGCGGUACAUCCAGUCUUCCAUGUAUCGAUGCUACGUAAAUGUAUUGAUGAUCCUUCUAGAGUAUUCCCCAUAGAUGAUGUUCAGGUAACAGAGGAGUUGUCAUAUGAGGAGAAACCCGUAGCUAUACUUGAUCGCCAGGUUAGAAGGUUACGUACUAAGGAUGUGGCUUCCGUCAAAGUGUUGUGGCAAAAUAAUAAUAGGGAGUAGAUGACUUGGGAAGCGGAAGACGAAAUGAAGAAUAAGUAUCCUUACUUGUUCCCCGUACUUGCAGGUAAUUUAAUUCCUAGCUUGACUAUAUUGAUUGAUAAACAAGAUUAUGUAGUAAGUUGUGACUCUGUGAGGCAUCUGUAAGUUACAGAAUGCAGGUUGAUAGGUAUAACUGUUAGAGAGACCUCGCUGGAAUUUGUUUUUGUAACACGCUAACUUAACAUUCGAGGAUGAAUGUUCCUAAGGGGGGAAGGAUGUUAUGCCUCGUAUUUUUUUUAUACGUAGUGCGCGUCAUGAUCUAGUAGACAUAAGUCUGGGGAAUGAGAUUUUAUUUUAAGUUCCAAGCGAUUAAAGAAUAUUAGGCAGUGAUGUUAAUUCCAAAUGUGAUAUUAAGUAUGCUUUGGCUAAUGUAAGUGCCAUUAACUUUAAGUGAGGGAUUAAUUAGUGGCUGAUUAGGAUUAAUUUAAUCCAGUGGGCCCCACCACUCAAUACAAAAAAUUAAAAAGGGAUCAGAUUGGGAGCUGGCCUUCGUAGACACGUGUAGAGGGGGGGCUGCCUCCACUUCAUAUUAUAAAUGAGGUGGAGAAAUCCACUCCAUACUAAAUAAAGUGGUGAAAUUUAUUGCUGCAUAUCAUCUUCUUCACCACUUGGCUUAGGCAGCCAUGGAAAUGGAGAAACCAACCCUACUACUCUUGGCCAGCAGCUGCAAAUAAUCUGGUUAGUAAUCUCCUUGCUUGGUGUGUUAAUUAUUUAAAUACCUUGUUAAUUAUCCAUUAAUAUUAAGAAGGGGGCAUGACCAGUAGCUUAGGAAGUUUGUUUCAGUUAUUGAAUGUGCUAAGUAUGAACGGAAACCAUAAUCGGAUUAUUAGUGGUGUCGUGUUUGUGCUUGGGCUGUUUUGAUUAAAGCAAACUGCGGGAAAAUUCUGUUUUGGCGUCAUGUAUAUGUUAAAUGUGAUUAUGAGUAUAUACUCCAAAGGAUGAAUACGAUAAGGUAGAUGUGUUGCGAAUUAUAAAACAAGUUAUCGCUCGGUGUGUCGUUGCUUCGCUGCUAUGGUUGCCGAGACGAAAUUGUUUUGGGGAGGCGGCUGUUUAAUAUGAUUCGUUGGGUUAUAUGUGUUAUUGGUAUUGCUGUGGAUAAUUUGGGUUGUUGUCGGAUUGGGACGAAGUAAGGAAAAUAGGGGAAGUGCUGCCAGAUUUUCGUUAUAUUAUUAGCUAGCUUACAAGAUAGUUAAGGGCGACGUUUAUCUAAUUGCAGCACGAUUGUUGCUUGUUAUAGAUUAAUAGCUUGAGCAGUAAAUAUUGGACAUGCGGCUCGACUAUACGGUAUGUAACGAUGUCCCUUCUUUCUUUGUUUGGCAUGACUUUCAAAAAUAAGCAAAUAACAAACAGGUUUGAUACUUACCUCUAGAGCGUCUCGGUGACGUAUAUUCUUGCUACCAAGAUUAUUCCUAUAUGUCGGCUAUGUCUAAGGCUAUGAUGAUUUCUCAUAUCUAUGGUAGUGCUUCUUAGAGUCAUUGAGAUUUUACGUUUCCAUAUCGUAUUAAAGGUUCAUAAUCUUGAUAAAACGUUAAUCUUUGGUAAUACUCCUUGCUGGUUCGUGUUGAUUGUUCUAUUGAGUUAUAAGAAAUGAUUUUAAUUGCAUAUGGUUGCUCAUAAUAUUCUGCUCGUGCAUAGAGUCAUUUAUCAUUUCAACGAGUCCCGGGCGGGGUAAUGUUCGUGCGGAGUUUCUUGCAUAUGUCACCGAGUCCCUCACUAGAGGGCCGGGUAUGUAUAUUAUAUAUAUGAUUGGUGAUGAGGAUGGUUAUGAUGAUGAUAAUGACGAAGAUGACGUGAUGAUUAUUUUGCCGAGCCCCUUACUAGGGAAGCUGGGCACCUUAUAUGUUAAAGAUAUGCAUGAUUUUCACUUAAAAGGGUAUAUGUGUAGCGAUAUUUUGUUUCGACUUGCCAUAUUGGUAUCCUGUCAUCUUUACCUUAAGCUUUACAUACUCAGUACAUUGUCUGUACUGACCCCCUUUCCUCGGGGGGCUGCGUUUCAUGCCCGCAGUUGUAGACGCAUAGUUCGGUGAUCCUCCCGCCUAGGAUAUCUACUCUGUUGAUUGGAAGAGCUCCACUGUUCGGAGCCCAGUCGUUUUGAUACAUAACUUUUUGUGUAGUCUUUUGCUCGUCUAUGGGUAUGGCGGGGCCCUGUCCCGUCGAGUUUCACUACUAUACUCUUAGAGGUCUGUGGACAUUAUGUUGGUUGUAUAUAAAUGUUUUGGAUAAUGGUCUGGACAUGGUUUGUUUGGGAUGUCCGCUUGUACAGGGGAAGCCUUGUCGGCUGUGUACAUCAUUGUGUAUUGUGUAGUGGCAGCCUUGUCGGCUUAAGUAUGUUAUUAUGCUUUGGAUAGUGGCGGCUUUGUCGACUCGCGUAUGUUGUUACGGUUAAAUGGUUAUGACUCCUUAUGAGACAGGUCCUCUUUAUAUAUAUAUGACGUUGGGGUUGUCUUAAUUUGAUUAAAUUCCAUAUUGUCUUAGUUUCAGUUGGUUAUACUUAGCAGGUUUGUAUGUGGGUGUCCAAAACUGGCACUAGUCACGGCCCAUCGGGUUGGGUCGUGAAAGUAAUAGGACCUUGCUUUUGUUUAAAACCUGUAAGUCUCUUUAUUCUAUCUCUGGUGCUAUUGAAAGCAUUAGAGUGUAGCCUGAAGUGACUUUUGUCUCCAUUGAUGAGUAGCCCAGAAGUAUGUUCAUACUCCUUUAAGGAAGUCAUUAAUAACUUCAAAGUUUUGCAUCUUCCUUAAGUGAAAAAAAAUUAUAUCAUCGGCAAAACUGAGAUGGUUUACUUGUGGCCCCCUCGUUUCCAUGAAUAAACCAUGGUAGACUGGAUUAUUGAGAGAUACCUCUGCACCUAAAAUAAAUAGGGCCGGAGACAGAGGAUCACCUUGCUUGAGACCUCUAGUGGAAUGUAAGAAGCCAUAUCUCUUACCAUUGACAAUGAUUGAGUACCAAUUGUUAGCCAAGAUUCUCCACACCAUACCAAUAAAUAUCUCAGCAAAUUCCAUUUUCCUUAGAACCAGGCAAGUAUAUGACCCAGAAACCCUGUCAUAAGCUUUUGCCAUGUCUAGUUUACUGAUGACAUUGCUACCAAUAUUAGGUUUUUCUGAUUUGGUGAAUGAUUUCCUGAGCUAGCAUGAUGUUCUCAGAGAUACUUCUACCUUUAACAAAUCCGAAUUGAUUAGGAGAGGUUAAUGCAUGGAGGAUAGCAGUAAGUCUGUUAAUCAUUAGCUUAGAUAUGUUCUUGUUAGUGAAGUUGCUCAGACUUAUAGGCCUAUACUCAGUAAUCUUGUUUGGAUUAUUCACUUUAGGGAGCAGCACGAUACAUGAAUUGGAGAAGUAUUUAGGAAUCAUCUGUCCACUGAAAAAGGCAUAUACAAUUCCCAUUAGAUCAUUCUUGAUAAUAUAUGCCAACACUUUUGAAAAAAAUACCCAUUCAUACCAUUAGGUCCAGCAGCAUAAUUAGGAUUCAUAGAAAAAAGCACCUCUUUAAGUUCAUCCAUACCAGGAAUAUUGGAAGCCGAGUAUUUUGGUCUUGACUAAUCAUCCUUGGAAUGCAUUCCAAAGUAUGCUCAUUGAUAAGCUUUUCUUCUCCAUUAAAGAUUCCUUUGAAGUGUUCACAAGCUACCUGAGCAAUGUUAUCAUCACCUUGUGUCCAAUCUCCAUUUUCAUUGACAACUUUAUGAAUAAAUAACUUCCUUCUUCUUCCCUUAUCACAAAAUGGAAGUAUUUAGAGUUAUUAUCACCCUCUUGAACUAUUGAAGCUGGGUUUUUUAUUUCAAAAUAGUGUCUUCAAACUUGAGAAACUUGAUGUACUUUGCAUUAAUUUCAUGAAGGAUACUUCUAUUUGAUUCACUUUGGUUAAUGAUGUAGUUUUCUUCAGCUUUGUGCACUUGUUCCUAAUACAUUCUAACCUUUUGGAAAAUAUCACCAAAUUCUUUUUUAGACCAAACACUAAGAGUAUUUGACAUCCUUUUCAUUUUUUUGUGAAAUCUCCACAUACAGACCUAUCACUUUUCUCCCACCAGGUUUUAACAGUUUCCAUGAAAUGAGGGUUGUCAACCCAACAAUUGAGAAAUCUGAAGUACUUGAUGUGAUCAGUUGUUGUGGAAACCAUUUCUAGACGCAGUUGUGGACAAGUGAGUUAUAGUUGUUUGAGGCAUCUUUUACAACCAAGAAUCAUUUACCAUAGCCCUGUCAAGGCUCUUUAAAAUUAUGUGAUUGAUACCCCUCUUGUUGGACCAAGUGAAUUUUUGACCACUAAAGACAAUGUCCAAAAGGCGACAGGAUUCAAAAAUAGCUAUAAAAUCCAUACUUUCCUCAUGUUAUAAGGCAACCCUCCAAGUUUUUCUUUCACAGAAGUUAUAACAUUUAAAUCACCUACAGUACAACAAGGAUUGUAAUUCAAAGAGGUUUGCUGUAACAUUUUGUCCUAAAGUGGUCUCCUGAGAUGAUCUUUGCAUUUAGCAUAAACAAAUGUACUAGUAAAUUGGUAUAAUAAUUCAUUGUGUUUCAUGUUGCAAGUGAUUUGUUGUUCAGAAUAUUACAGUCAAUAUCACUGCUCCAAAGAACCCAAAUUUUAUCAUUACAAUUACUAGUAGCAUUUUCCAUGUUUAAUUGGACCUUAAAGCUUUGAACAUUCACACUAUCAGAGAAAGGUUCCAAAAUAGUGAUAACAGAUAACUGGUGAAGCUCCCUGAGCAUCUUGAGUCUCUCCAACACCCCUUGAGUGUUGAUCCAUCUUACAUUUCAUAUGAUUGUACUAAUCAUUGGAAAGAUCUAGAGGCAAAGAUCCGAGUAUUAGGUCUUCCAGCAGUGACAGAAUUGACAUCUUGUUUUUUGAAGUGAAAUUUGUCAUGGUGGAAACCCCUUGGCGAUAGACAUUGACUUUGUGUUAUUGGAUCUCUUCCUUUAGGGCCUGAUCAUUAUGAGGACUAAAGGCCUUAAUAAGGUCCUCACUAGUCUCAUCAUCCUUUUCAAACUCUUCUAAGGAGUGAUUAUCCCCAUCAAUUUCAUCGUCAGAAUUAUCCACAACAUAUUCAUCUAUAGUAGGCACCUUAUUCAGCUUACAUAUUUGUUGCCUCUCGUCUACUGGUUCAGAUGGUGGUGGAGUCAUAUAUUGAGCGUGAGGGGGGAGGAUAUCCAAUUCAUGAUUAUCAUCAAUCAUAACAAAUUGGUUGCACGAUUCCUCCCUCUUUUCUUGUCCCUGUUCACUGUCAUUGAUUUGCUUCUUGUUCUGUCUCCUUUUAGCAGUGUCUCUUUUCUGUUUACUGGGCUUAUUUUUGCUCUUGGGAGUGCUUUCCGGAGUACAAGUAGCAACCUGUUUCCUUUAUCUUUAUUUCCCUCUUUUUCAGCAUGAUGUUUUUCCUUAUUAUUUUCAGAAUCUUGUGACCUGUAAUCUCUGAUCUGCAUUUGCUGUUUGAUCUGUUGUUUUUCCUUUUGUUGCUGCCUGUUCCUUGUCCAGGGCUGUAGAGUCUGUCCUAUGGUCAACCAACCCCUCAUGCAGAACAUGAGUCAAACACCCCCCUUUGGUAACCCCAUCCUGCAGGUUAGUGGUUUUUUCCUGACACCCCCAUCCAUACCUCCAACAACUUCUUCAGUAAAACCAUCAACAUUAAUAAAGUUGGGGGAAUUGGGACAUGGGAGCAUUGAGUCAAUACCUGUGCUCUUCUGCUUAGUGACAGUAUUAUGUAGUUGGUUUUGUUCCAUGUGUGUGUUGAGGUUGUUCCUGACAAUUGGGCUAUUAGCAGUCCCCUUUUUUAAUUGGUUUGACUGGUCUGCUGUCUUCCUGAUAGUUCCAACUCCUGUUUCGAUUAUCUCCUGUUGGUCCUGCAUUUCAAGUUUAUAAAAGUAAUUUGGAGUUUGAAAGUUAGAUGUAUCUGUUGUUUCCUGUGUUUGUUGCUGGCUUCCAUUGCUUCUUUGCUUUUGAGGUGAGACAGGUCUCCAGACAGCUUUAGAGAUGGUUUGUUCCUGAUUUUUUUGCUGUCUCCUUUUUGGGUCUGCCACUUUUCUUCCUAUGAUUCUGCUUGCUGGCCUUGUUCCUUUUGGUUAAAGGUAUGCUUCCCUUGUUGUUGGUCUGUAAUCUGAUUCUUUGAUUGAUUUUGUGCUUCCUCCUUUCCAGCUUCUCCCUUUUGCUGAUUGUUUAGUUGAUUUGAUGACUUUGUUGUAGCCUCAUGAGUACUUUUUUCAUGCUUAUUGCAUUUUCUGUGAUUUCCUUGUUCCCUGUUGUUCUUUUCAAUUUCCUGCUCCUUCCUUUUUUUUAACUCCUCAUCCCUUCUCUUGAUUGUAUAGUCCUCUUCAAGUGUCCUUGGUGUUUGCAGUAUAUGCAAUAGUUAGUAAAACCUUCAUAUUCAACCUUUAACCAUCUCCCUUUAUUGGGGUUUGAAUUCUUAAAUCCCAGCCAAACAUAAUUGGGUCUAGUUUUGGUAAGGUUCAGUUGAACUUUUACCCUUAAAGUGCUACCUCUAGUUUUUUGGGAGGAUGGUGAAUCUAGGAAUAACACCUUCCCAAUUGACUCCAAAAUAGUUGCUAGUAGCACUUUGUUAUCACAAUGCCAAGGUAGGCCAGGGAUAGCCACCCAAAUGGGAGCAAUGGGACUUUCCUCUUCCGAGGUAAACUCAGGGGUCCAAGUUUGUAUUCUCAUCACUUGCCCUUUAAUAUUCAUUUUCUAAUCUUCGUCCAAACUGUUUGGUAGUCAAACUCAUUAUCAAGGUCAAUAUAAACAUGUCUUGCAUUAAAAUGUGUGAUCUUCACACUUCCUGUGAGUUGAGUUUGGAGAGUAAAGCUUUUUCUCACCAAUUCCAUUUUAGGCAUCGUAUUAGUGAACCUACCCACAAGUGUGUAGUAUUUACACACCUCAGCAAAUUUCACAUAAUAGUCAUCCUCAUCAAGUAGCACAAUUGGAAAUCCUUGUCUAGUCGUAUGUAUGGGAUCCUUUAAGACAAUAGGAAUUUCAUUUUUGGAUUGAUUGUAUCGCAACCUUGCAGAAAAAGAUUGCACCACAAUAUAUGGGUACAGGUUUUGAAUUUUUUUUCAUUUUUAGCAUUGUUGUUAGGAUUCUGAACAUGUUGUUGGUUGUUAGGACUUCUAGCAGUAACCUGAACCACAUUAGUGACCUGCUUAUUAGUUCUAUCAGCUUGAGUAUUAGGCUCAUACCUGGAGUAGUUUUUGGAUAUUUUGGGGAAGUUAUUAUGGUACUCCACACUUGCUUGGUUGAUUUGAUUUGAUAAGUUGACUCCUCUUUGAUUGUAAGUGUACUUGGAUUGAUCAUUUUGCUUGGAAACACUCCCUUGAACCUGCUUGGUAACACUUCCUUGAACCUGUUCUGAAACAUGCUUGCAGCUUCCAGCAGUCCUUUGUUCAUUUCCUCCCUGCUGCAACUCUUUGCCUGGUUGAUCCAGUUUUUGACUUGAGUUUUCUUGCCUUUGCAGAUGUACAUUUCCAUGUUCCUCACCUUUGUCCUCCUGGUGAGGUGUGAUUUGCGAGUUACCUGUAUUAAAGGAAGGAGUCAUAUAGGAUGAAUUACCUGCUAAAUCAAAGGAAAAUUUCAAUGAUUGUGUGUCAUUUGAUGAGGUUUCUGGGUGCAUCCUCAUAGUGUUCCUGUUAGUGCCCUGCUGCCCGAUCAAAUAUUCCUCCUGUUGUGUUUUGUUUUCUUCUCCAAUUGUUGUUGCUUCGGUCGACUGAGAAACCUCCAAGUUGGUGUUUUGCUUGGCCUUUCGAUCAGAACCAGAGUUUCCCCUUCACUUUCGUUCUUUGGGAGGAUGGUAAAUCUAGGAAUAACACAUUCCUAAUAAUUGGGAUGUUCUUGAAAAAAAUAACCUAGUGUUUGGUUUGCCUAUACUGACAGUGGUGAUGUCUUGAUUUUGAAAUGAAAUUUACUAUGUUGCAAUUCCCUUGGUGAUGACGCUUGAGUCUUAGUAGCUUGUUGGAUUUCAUCCUCAAUAUAUUGAUCAUUCUGAGGACUAAAGGAUCUAGAAUAAGUGUCUCACUUGUCUCAUCAUCAUCUUCUUGAUCAUCCAUUGAUUUAUUAUAUCUAUCCACCUUAUCCUCAGAAUGACAAACCUCAUAUUCAUCAAUAUCAGGGGAGCAGUGUUAAGUUGGCAUUCUUGAUGUUGCUUAUCUGGGGGUUCUGCUUCCUCCCCUCUUCCCUAUUCCUUAUUUCCCUCAUUCUCUUGCUCUUUAUUCAUCCUAAUUUUGGCAGCAUCCCUUUUCUUUUUACUUGGUUUAUUCUUACUUUUAGGGGUAUUUUCUUGUUUAUUUAUAUUUGGAUUGGUGUCCUUUUCCUUUGUCUUUGAGACUGAAUUCUGAUAUCCUGUGUGAUCCUUAUCCCUAUGUUGAUUCUCCUUGCUUACAGUAUCUUUGUCUUGCUGCUGUUUGGAAGCCUGUUGUUGAGGUUGCUUUUGUUUGACCUGCUGUAGCAUGCUUUUAGAAAUGGUUGAGGCUCUAAAGUCUCUAUUGUGGUCAAUAUGUACCCCCUCAUGCAAAGCAUGAGGAAAAUUCCCCCUUUGGUCACCCCUUACUGCAUGUUAUUUUGGCUCUCCUAACAUCCCCUAUCCAUCCCUCCAUCAACUUCUCCAAAUAUACCAUCAACAACAUAAUCAUUACUAGAGGUAGGUUUUAUAUCUAUGAUACAUGGGGAGUCUACAUUUCUGUUAUUGACUUUCUUUUGCCUUUGCAUGUCUUGCUUACCCGCAGUGUUUUCCUUUAUUUUCUUGUUUGUUGCUUCUACCUUGCUUUGAUAUUUGCUGCCUCUGUCCUCUCCCUGUAUAUUGUGAUCUGCCUGCAAUUCCAAAUUAGUAAAGGAUAAUUGCUGAGAGUUAGUAGUUAUACCUGCCUGUUGGUUGUCUUUUGUAGUCUGAUUUGUAGAAGUAGGUUUCCACAUAGUCUUUGGAAUUGCAUGUUCCUAUUGCCUUGUAUUUUUCCUUCAUUGAGUUUUUCAUUCCUCCUCUUUUAGCUGUUGUAUUUGCCUCUGCCUGUUAUUGUCUUUACUUUGUUGUUGUUGUUGUUCUCUUGUCUCCUUGCUUUUGUUCUGUCUAUAUUCUUGUUCUUUUGCUUUGGUGGUAUCUUUGUUUUAGUUUUUCUUCUUACUUUCUUUUUCCUUUCUAUGUCUAUACUCCUCAUUCUUCAUUUUGGAUUUACAUUCUUCAAUAUCAUGCCCAUGAUGUGUACAAUACUCACAGUAUGGGGGAACAUUCUCAUAUUUCACUGGCUCCCAGAUUCCAAUGGUGUCAUCCUCAGGAUCUAGUCCUACCCAAACAUGUCUAGAUAUAAAACAUUGCAACCUGAUUCCAACAAGGGAGUAAGGAAAGGUUUUUUGUAGCAAUGCCAUGGUAAUCCAGGUAGCAAAAUCCAGACAGGCACAAUAGGGUUUUCCUCUUCAGGUGUAAAAAAAGGUGUCCAAGCUUGUAUCCUCAUCAAUUUUCCUACAAUAGUCAUUCUUUGCUUAGUCCAAACUGUGUUAUAAAUCUAACUCUUUUUGUAAAUCAAUAAACACAUGUUUUGCAUUGUAGUGUCCUAUGUUGACCCCCCCACACACACACUUAAUUUAGUUUGUUGUAUAAAGCUCUUCCUAAUAAUAAGCUCCACCUUAGGCAUGGUAGUACUUAACUUCCCAACUAAUGUAUACUUGCAAUCCAUAGUCAAUGUAUGCAUAUAAUCAUACAUAUUAAAGAAUACAGCAGGCUGACCCUGCUUGGUAGUUUGUCUGGAUGUAGUUCUCAACACAACAUUUGGAGCUUGAGCAGCAUAUAUAUGUCUCAGUCUUGUUGCCAAAGUUUGGACCACAGUAUAAGGAGCAGGUUCCUAAACCUGAUCCUGUUUGGUAGCUGGGAUACUCUUAUUAUUGUUGGAAGAAUUGGCAUUAAGGUUAGGAACAUUUUGGUUAGCAUUUUGGUGAACAUUAGACCUCUUUUCUCAAAUUUACUAGAAAUCUUAGGAAACUCUCUAUGGUAGAGGUUUUGCCUACUGUUGUCCUGCUGAUUCAGUUCCUGAUUCUUUUUCUCAUUGUUCUUGUUUUGCUCACAUUGUUUCUUGUCACUCUUUACCAUUUUCCCCUUACCUUGACUACUAGUUCUACCCUCCAUGUUUCCUUUGGUAUUGUCCUUCUCAUAGUAAUCAUUUUCCUUUUGUUACACAUUUUGGUUGCUUACCUCCCCUGCUCCUAGACACUAUUUAUAACAGCUAAGUUUGCCUUGGCAUUUUCAUGCUCAUGGCAAUUGUUAACAUUAUUACCAACAUAACUGAGAUUAGAGUUGUAGUUAGUAUGGUUACCUGCUUGAUUUGCCUCUCCUGGUUGCUCCUUAAAGGUUUGUUGAUGGCCAUGUCCUUGAACAUCUGCAGCAUUAGGAUUAAAUGCAAAUGAAGAUUUUGCUGAACUCUCCACUUCAAUAGUAUCCUGUUCACAAACUAAGGCCUUGUUGUGUUGAAGCUUAGAGGCUAAGCUUGCUUCCACAGAUUCCUCUUGAAGUGUUUCUUCAUCAAUAUUCUUUUCCUUGUUCACCUGUUCACAAUUAUCCUUCUGAUUAUCUCCAUGAAUUGUACCAGUAGAGGUGUUAGUCUAAGUCCUUCUUGCUCAGUGUUAUUCCUCUCAUAUGCUUUGCCUGUAACGUUGUUCUUUCGACUUCCAUUUUGACAACCUGCGUUCUUGUUACCGAUGAUUUUUAGUUCCAUUUCGCUUGAUAUUACUGUGAGAUGAACAUCUUCCCCUUGUAAGUACUUCUUGAUCUAUUGUGAUUUUUACGUUCAUGAGCUUUAUUCGCGUUAUUCCUUGAACCCCCACCUUCGAUUGUUUCUAUUGGUUCAUCAGUACUUCUUGAAAAUUGAUUAUGUUGUAGCUUUAACUUACAAGAAUCAUUCCCUUCACGAUUGUAAUCUUGAUUACAUCUGAUUGAGUCUGAGGAUAUAUUGUUGUUGUUCCCCUCUUCUUCCCUUCGAGAAAUUUCACUGUUCAUCGCGCCUUGAUAUUUCGAUUUCCUGGAGUUAUUUGAUGAAUUAGAGGGGGAUUUGAGUAAAGUUAGGUUCCUUUCCUCCAAGCGCCCCUUCUGGGGCUGGUCCGGCGGUCUGAGAUUUACCGCCGGUGGGUCACGCGCCAUGUUUGGCCUUACAGAACUAGCCAUUAGGCGUGUCAUUUAUGUGUAACAUUAGGGAGUUUUGGUCUAGUGAGAUAAGUUAGACAGAGAACUAAUUUGGCAUUUUGGUCUUUUUGGUGGUAAUUUGGGCUUGGGGUUUUGGGUUAAUGGUUUAGGGUUAGGGUUAGCAUUAGGGUUUGGGUUAGGGUUAGGGUUAGGAUUUAGAUUUUUUUUAUAGGUUUUAGGGUUAGUGGUUUUGGAUUUGAGGUUUAAAAUCUAUGGUUUAGUAUUUAAUAUUUGGGUUUUCUUAUUUUGGAUUUAGGGUUUUUUUGGACUUAGAGGUUUUAGGGUAUUGGUAUAAUGUUAGGGUUAGGGUGUAUUAUAUUUUAGGUUUUAUGGUCAAGGGUUGUAACACCUUGAAAAUCUAAGACUCAUUGUAUAGCCUAACAUAGGUGUUAUAAAGUCUAAACACUGUUUCUAAGUCCAUUUUUAAUGAACAUAGGUCAUUUAGGAGGUGUAAGAACCAAAGUAUCCAAAAACAUCUGGUAAGUUGGUUAAAAGGGAUGUUAGUGUGCCUUAGCCUUUUGACUAACUUUUAGGAGUCAGAAUUGUACUAAAAUGGGUGGAAAGGUAGCUAAUGGGUGUUUCAGUUAUUUCAUGAUUGAAACGUCUAGGUACGACUCUCCAAGGACUAACCAAGGGCCCUUGAGGAGGACUCCUAUUGUUUGAAGCACUACCUGGCAGUGUUCAUUGCUAGAAUAGGUGACGGUCCGUGUGUGGCUCGACAAGGCGUCGAGGCCACCUCAUACCACAUAGAAAGAUCCAUGAAGGAUCUUGCUUACCUAGAUACUGUUACACACGAUGGAAGGGGGUUGACGAGGCAUCAGUGGCUCGACAGGGCUUCAAGGCCACCGUCAUUCCACACUUAGAAAUAUUGGAGGAAGCCCUCACCAACAAAGUCUCUGACUGAGGCGACGGAGUACAGGACAAAGGGGGGAUUGUCCGUCAACUCACCAACAGACCAUCGAUCAGGUCUCGUUGGUGAGGGUAGAGUUUCACUGUUAAAUUUUAAAUAAUUUCAUUUAAUUAAUUAAGUGGUUUAGGGUUUAGUUAGGGAUUAAAGGGAGACUACUUAAGUUAAUUAAGCCCCACUAUAAAUACCCCUAAUCCUCAUUAAACUAAAGACAUCUCUCAAAAUAAACUCUCUUUCUUCUCUUUUAUUUCUCUCUAUACAUGAACUCACAUUGAAGGCUAGAAAGAACUAGGGUUUUGGGGCUGGGAAAAGGGUGGAUUCGUCAUCAAAUUGUUGAGAAACAUUAAUGUAUGGGUUCUAUUCACCUUUGAGAUUCUUUCCCCAAAGGGUUCCUUCAAAAUAGCUUUCAAAAAGUUUAGUUUUCCUAUGGGUUUCAUUCUAUUACGAAAUUGAAGUCAUGGAUUGAGUUGUUAAUGAAUUAUUAGGGUUAUAUUGAGUAGACUAACAUGUAUUUCAACUUAUUUAUUGUAAUUGAUGAUGGUUUGGUCUAAAUUUAAGAAUACGAUCCUCUAUCCCUAACCCUAGGUAGUGAUCUUGACCUAUGUUGUAUGGUGAUUAUUCAAUUGAGUAGGUUGUUGAUUAUAUUACUAUCAUAUGGUGCUAUUAUGAUUAAAUUAAAAUGAAUUAUAGGCCUAUCAUGCUAGUUCUUGUGAGGUGAUUUAAUGUGAAAUUAGCCUAUGUACCUUGUCUUAAGUUGUGAUCUAAAGAUGAAUUGUGUUAUAGAGAUGCAAUUGGCCUCGUUAUUCUAUUGAUUAUAAUUGUGCGAUGAUGUUAUUUCCCAAGUUGGCUUUAAUUAAAGGUUGAUGGUAAGACCUUGAUGAUAGACUAUGAGAAAGACUUGAUAAGUCUUAGAAUCUCUAUCUUUACUUCCAAUUAAGGUGUAUGUGCUAUAAAGAUGGUGAAAACUAUCAAUGAGCAUUAAUAUGUGAUGGAAGGACUUAUACUCAUACAGUUCUUAUUGAGCUAUUGAUGAUGAUGAUUAUACAAAGGGUAGACCCUAUGGCCUAAAUUAAGUUAUUAUUGACAAUUAUAGGCUUAAGACAUUUCAAAAAGGGACUCUAGCUUAGCACCGAGUGAACUAGAUAGAGAAGUGUCCUUUCCACAUAGGGAAGGUAAAAACACUACAUUACUCUCGAGAUUGGAUACUAUAAUGCAUGGCGCAUAAAGAGGGUCCCAACUAAAUCUCCUAGUUCUUGAACUAUGUUUCCCCCAUAGGAAUACUAGCUAGUGGAUCCACGUAGUUGCUAUGUUUUAUGUUUCGGUACUACCUUGGCAAGUAGUCCGCCUUCUUUUGGUGUAGGGUUUUAUAACAUCGGAUUCCACACUAGCUCAUGUGGUCUAUGUCAGUUAGGGCAAGAUGUUCCCAAAAGGUAAAAUGAAUUAAAAGACUUGAACUCUAACUUGGAUAACCUAAGGGAUCUAGUUUAGUCUAGGAAGGGGUAUGGGAAUCUACCUAUACAUUGCACUAGUUAUUCUUGAGGGGAGUCUUAGGAGGAGGUUCUUAUAUGCUUAUGUUAUGAUAAUUUAUGAUGUAUAUAUAUGAUAACCAUGUCAUAUUGUUGAUACUAUAUGUUGAUUACUUCAUUUAUGAAUAUACCUUGGAUUAUAAUGAUAAUAUAUGAUGAAAUGUAAGCCUAAAUGACAUGAUAUGUAAUGUUGUACAUUGGUCAUGUUUUCUUGUUGAGGAUAUUUGAUUGAGUAAGGUUAUGGGGCUUUGCUUGGUAAUUGCACUUGUUGACUUGAUAAGGACUUGUGAGUAGUUGUCUUGCUUAUUAUGAUGUAUUUAACUCUUAUUCAUUCUUGUGAUAUAAUUCCUUGAUGUUAGGGUUGUAGUAAAUCAUGAUUUCAAGUGUGUUGGAAUAAGUAUUACUUAUUGAGAUAGUAAGCAUGUUUGGUUGAUUAAUAUGACUUACUUGACUUUGCAUUAAGCUCUAAAAGGGGUAGAAUGGCAUGCUUUGAUAAAAAAGUCCCUUUCAAAAUUUUUUGCUUGUGUAUGUGCAUAAGAUCUGUUACUUUGUACCUGUGGAGUACUAACCCCAUUUUCUUCCCUUGUCCCAAAUAUUUUAGGUUCCGAUCGUUGAAGAGUUUGAAAGCCUAUAUUGUUGGAGGAUUGGAUUCUUCUUUUCAUCCAAGUGGGGUAGGUCCUCAACUUUUGAGGACAAUGCCAUCUUCUAGCUUUGGAUUUUGUUAUGAGCUUAUUGACUCUUUCAUUUAUUUCCUUGUUAUUUGAAUAUUGUAUUUUCGUAUACUCGAUAUGAUUAUAUAUUAUGUGUAUGUAGAGGUCUAUGUAAACCUCCAAGUAGAGAAAAUAAAAGUUUUAAAUUUUUCCAUAAUUUUUCGACCUAUGAAUGUAAUGACAUGAAACUAAGAGUCUAGUCUUAGUCCUUCAAAAGGACAUCGACUCCGGUUACCUCUAGGGGGUAAACCCGGAUGUGACAAACUUGGUAUUCUAGUAUGAGGUUGAAUACGUUGAGUUAUGUAUCUUUCUCUAUCACAUCUAUGUAGGUUUGUAUUCAUAAUUAUGUAGCGUGCCACACUUAUCGAAGACUUGAAGAGGAAGUUGCUAAUGCGGGAGCUCCCCCCUAUGAUGAGAAAGUUCCUCCUCUUGAGGUGAAUGCUGAUGUUGAUCAAGCCCGGCUAACCCUCCACCUAGUGCGGAGGCGGAGAUGAGGGGGCUAUUCUUGCUCAAAUGGCUCAAGCCAUGACUACUCAAGCACAAGCUGCGACGAUUCAAUCCCAAGCUAUGACAGUCCAAGCCAAUCGGGAGGUUGCACCUAGGGUUUAUCAACAAGUUUCUACUAUGGCUUCCCGACUUAGGGACUUCACUCGGAUAAAUCCUCCUACCUUCUAUGGGUCCAAGGUAGAUGAAGACUCCCAUGAAUUCCUUGAUGAGGUCUACAAGGUGCUAUAUUCUACGGGCGUGAGUUCAAGUGAGAAGGCCAUGUUGGCCUUAUAUAAACUAAAGGAUGUGGCUGAAACUUGGUAUGUGCAAUGGAGGGAUAAUAGGUCAUUGAGGGGUGGUCCGGUGACUUGGGAGAUCUUUAAGGCGGCUUUUCUAGAUCGGUUCUUCUCUAGAGAGAUGAGGGAGGAGAAAGUAACGGAAUUCAUCAAUCUUCGUCAAGGAGUGAAGAGUGUUCAAGAAAUUCUUUUGAAUUAGUUAAGUUGUCCAAAUAUGCUCCUUCUUUAGUCUCCGAUCCUAGAGACCAAAUAAGUCAUUUUGUGACGGGAGUGUCACAGGACUUACAAGAGAAGUGCCAAUCGGCCAUGCUACAUGAAAACAUGAACAUUUCCCGUCUUAUGGUUUAUGCUAGAAGGGCCGAGGAGGAAAGAGCUAAGCAAAUAAGUAGAGAUGCAAAGAUGGCUAGGUCAUUUGAUGGAGGCUCCUCAAAGAAUAGGCUUGAUAUACAAGAUAAGCCUAAAUUUAAGAAGCGGGGUUCAAGUCAAGUCCCUACCAAAUUCUUAAAUGCUAGUGGUGAUAGGGUGUCUAACCCUAAAUUUAAGAAGGGAAAAAGUUCUAAUUCACCAAAGAAGAAUCCAACUUGUGGAACGUGUGGUAAAAAUCACUAUGGUGAGUCCUUAAGGGGAUGGAUAAUUGCUUUAGUUGUGGCAAGAGUGGUGACAAAAUGAGAGAUAGUCCAAACCUAAAGAGUCAAGAUAAGGGUAGUAGCCAAGCUCAAGAAAAUGGUUCUAGUGAUGCUCCAAAGAAGAACCACUUCCAUGCUCUCCUCUCUAGGGGUGAACAAGAGACGUCUCUCGACAUGGUGACCGGUAUGUUAAAAAUCUUCACUGUUGAUGUAUAUGCUUUACUUGAUCUGGGUGCUAUUUUGUCCUUUGUUACACCACUAGUAGCUAAAAGUUUUGACGCUUUACCCAAUAUUUUGCUUGAGCCUUUUUUAGUGUCUACUUCGGUGGGAGAGUCAGUUGUUAAUGAAAGAGUCUAUCGAAAUUGUCCUAUUUCAUUACCUAAUAGAGUUUCUUAUAUUGAUCUAGUAGAACUCAAUAUGCUUGAUUUUGAUAUAAUAUUGGGUAUGGAUUGGUUGCAUGCAUGUUUUGCAUCCAUUGGUUGUAGGAAAAGAGUGGUGAGAUUUAACUUCCGAAAUGAACCCGUUGUUGAGUGGAAGGGGGGAAAUUCUAUUCCUAGAGUUCGCAUCAUAUCUUGUCUAAAAGCAUGUAAAAUGAUCUCAAAGGGUUGUCUCUAUCACAUAGUAAGAGUCCAAGAUUUGGAUUCUGAAAUUCCUCCUAUUGAGUCCCCGUAGUAAAUGAAUUUCUAGAGUUUUUCCUAAUGACCUUCCCAGGAUUCCUCCCGAAUGGGAAAUUGAUUUUGAUAUUGAUUUGCUACUGGAAACAAAGCUCUUUUCAAUCCCUCCAUAUCGGAUGGCUCCAGCCGAAUUGAAAGAGUUGAAGGCUCAACUCAAGGAUUUUCAUGAAAAAGGCUUUAUAAGACCUAGUAUAUCUCCAUAGGGUGCUCUAGUGUUAUUUGUCAAAAAGAAGGAUGGGUCUUUGAAAAUGUGUAUUGACUACCAUAAACUCAACAAGGUCACCAUUAAGAAUAAGUACCCUGUCCCUCGGAUUGAUGACUCAUUUGACAAACUCCAAGGGGCGAGUUACUUUUCAAAGAUAGACUUGAGGUCGGGUAUCAUCAACUCAGGGUGAGAGGGCAGGAUAUACCGAAGAUGGUCUUUCGGACUAGGUAUGCACAUUAUGAGUAAUGGUCAUGUCUUUCGGUCUCACUAAUGCUCCGGUGGCAUUUAUGGACCUAAUGAAUAGAGUAUUUCAAAAUUACCUAGAUUUGUGUGUCAUUGUCUUCAUUAACAAUAUCUUGGUAUAUUCGAAGAAUGAGGAUGAUCAUAUGGAUCAUUUGAGGGUAGUAUUGAAAACCCUUAAAGAACAUAAAUUGCAUGCCAAAUAUAGUAAGUGUGAGUUUUGGCUGAGAUCGGUGACUUUUCUUGGGCACAUCAUUUCUAGUGGGGGAUUUGAAGUAGACCCAAGGAAAACGAAACCGGUGAAAAACUGGCCUAGACCAUUUACUCCAACUGACAUAAGGAGUUUCUUGGGUUUAGCGGGUUACUAUCGGGGGUUGGUGGAUGGUUUUGCAUCCAUUGCAUCUCCUUUGACUACUUUGACCCAAAAGAGUAAAAAUUUUAAGUGGUUGGAGGCAUGUGAGAAGAGCUUCCAAUUGUUGAAAGAUAGGCUUACUUUAGGGUGUGUGCUUAUGCAAAACGCAAAGGUGAUAGCUUAUGCCUCUAGGAAACUAAAGGUACAUGAGAAGAAUUACCCCACUCAUGACCUUGAAAUAAUGGUGUGGUGUUUACUUGAAAAUUUUGGAGGCAUUACAUGUAUGGGGUUCAUGUGGAUGUUUUUACAGAUCAUAAGAGUCUCCAUAUGUGUUUACCCAAAAGAAGUUAAAUCUCCGACAAAGAAGGUGGUUUGAGUUGUUGAAAGAUUAUGAUAUGAGUGUCUUUUAUCAACCCUGCAAGGCUAAUGUAGUUGUCGUUGGCCUAAGUUGGAUGACUAUGGGUAGUGUAUCCAUCCCAUCUUGAUGAAACCAAAAAGGACCUAGCAAGGGAAGUGCAUAGGUUGGCUAGGUUGGGGGUGAGGUUGGAGAGUGCUCCGGAUGGGGGUGCCAUAGUUCAUCAUAAUGAGUCAUCUUUAGUGGUUGAGGUGAAGUCCAAACAACACCUUGAUUUAGCCUUAAUGGAGUUGAAAGAAUGGUUCUUGGCAAGUUGAAUGAAUCAUUCUCCCUAGGGGGAAAUGUUAUGUUAAAGAACCAAAAGAGAUUAUGUGUUCGCCAUGUAUAUGUGUUGAGGGAUGGAUCUUAGAAGAAACACAUAAGUCCCGCUACUCAAUUCAUCUGGGUCGACAAAAAUGUAUCAUGACCUAAGGGAAAUAUAUUGGUGGGAAGGUUUAAAAAGGGACAUAGUGGAAUUUGUCGCUAAGUGUCAAAAUUGCUAACAAGUAAAGGCCGAACACCUAAAGUCUGGUGGCUUACUACAAGAGAUCCAAAUUCCAACUUUGAAGUGGGAAGACAUCAAUAUGGACUUUAUAGUAGGUUUACCCCGGACCCAAAAGUCUUAUGAUUCCAUAUGGGUGGUUGUGGAUUGAUUGACUAAAUCAACUCGCUUUAUCUCCGUCAAGUCUUCAUAUUCUACGAAAGAUUAUGCAAGAAUAUUCCUUGAAGAGAUUGUGUGCCGCCAUAGUAUUCCGUUAUCCAUCAUAUCAGAUCGGGGCGCACAAUUCACACCAAGAUUUUGGAGGUCAUUCCACAAAGGGUUAGGUACUACGGUGAAGUUGAGCAAGCUUUUCAUCCCCAAACGGAAUGUCAAGCGGAGCGUAUGAUACAAACCCUUGAAUAUAUGCUUAGAGCAUGCAUUAUUGAUUUUAAAGGGAGUUCAGAUAGACAUUUACCGUUAGUGGAGUUUGCCUGCAACAACAGUUUUCAUUCAUCCAUUUCAUUGGCUCCCUAUGAAGCCUUGUAUGGUAGGAGGAGGUGUAGGUCUCCUAUUGGAUGGUUUGAAGUGGGUGAGCCAUCGAUUCUUGGUCCUAAGUUGAUUUAUAAGACUCUGGAAAUGGUUCAUAUCAUAAGGAACCGGUUGCAAAUGGCCUAUAGUUGGCAAAGGUCUUAUGCCGAUAAUAGGAGAAGUGAUUUGGAGUUUGAAGAAAGUGAUAAGGUGUAUUUAAAAAUUUCACCAAUGAAAGGGCUGGUUAGAUUAGGUAAGAAAGAGAAAUUGAGUCCUCAUUAUGUCGGUCCCUAUCAAAUCUUGCAAAGGGUUGGUAAGGUUGCCUAUGAAUUGAAACAUCUUAGUGAAUUGGCUUCGGUUCAUUCGGUUUUUCAUGUUUUUAUGUUGAAAAAGUGUAUCGGUGACCCCGAGUCUAUUGUUCCUAUUGAGGGUCUUGGUGUCAAGGAUAACCUCUCUUGUGAGGAAGUCCCUGUUUAAAUUCUUGAUAGGCAAGUCAAGAAGUUGAGGAAUAUAAAGAGGUGGUAUCUGAAAAGUAUUAUGGAAAAAUCUAUUAGUUGAGGGUGCUACAUGGGAGGCCGAGGCCGAUAUGAAGUCCCAUUAUCCUCAUCUUUUUUAGAACUAAGGUUAGCCAUUCUUUUUAAUUAUAAUUAUGACAAAGAUUUGUGGUUUCUUGAUUUUUGGGUGAAGUGUUACAAAAAUGGUAUUUUUGAAAACCUCACAGUAAGUCUUACAGUGAAAUCACUGUAGUAUUACUACUAAAAACUUGAAAUUUUGAGUUUUGCUUGUUUUGAGUUAUGUAAUGCACUUUGGAUAAAAAAAAAUGCACUUUGGAUAUGGUGAAUCUUCAUAAAAUAAUAUGUAACAUGUUGUUAAGUUGAACUUUGUGUUAUUUGACUCAUUUGAUGUAUGUUGAGCUCAUAAGUGUUGUGAGAAGGAAAAAUGCCUCAUGAUGAAGUGUUUUGAGCCUUAGGUGUGGUAAUAUGAGUUUUGAUAUUUUCGUUGUUGAAGUGACAUGAUUAAUGUUAAAUGGUUAUUGUUGAUUGGUCAGGCUGCUAGUCUUGGGUCUAUUCCUUUCUUCAAAAGCAUUUUAGUAUCAUUCGGGGACGAAUGUUCCUAAGUGGCGGGGGGAUAAUGUAACACCUUGACAAUCUAAGACUCAUUGUAAAGGCUAACAUAGGUAUCAUAAAGUCUAAGUACUGUUUCUAAGUCCAUCAUUUAGUGAAUAUCGGUCAUUUAGGAGGCUAAAGAACCAAAGCAUUCAAAAACAUUUGGAAAGUUGGUUCAAAGGGAUGUUAGCGUGCCUUAGCCUUUUUACUAACUUUUAGGAGUCAAAAAUGUACGAAAAUGGGUGGAAAGGUAGCUAAUGGGUGUUUGAGUUGUUUCAUGAUUGAAGCUUUCUGGUAUGACUCCCCAAGGACCAACCAAGGGCCCUUAAGGAGGACCCCUCCAGUUGGAUGCAACACUGCCUGGAAGUGUGCAUUGAUAGAACAGAUGACGAUCUGUUUGUGGCUCGAUGAGGCGUCGAGGCCACCAUCAUCCCACACUUAGGAAGCUUCAUUAAGGAUCUUGCUUACCUAGCUACUGUGACACGCGACGAAAGGGGGUUCACUGGGUGCUCAAGGCCACUGUCAUCUCACACUUAGAAAAAUUAGAGGAAGCCCUUGCCUGCAAAGUCUCUGACCGAGACGACAGAGUGCAGGACGGAGCGCGAUUUUCCGUUGACUCACUAAUGGACCGUCGAUCGGGGUCUUGUCAUUGAGGGUCGAGUUCCACUGUUAAAUUUCAAAUGAUUUCAUUUAUUAAUUAAGUGGAUUAGGGUUAGUUAGGGGUUAAAGGGAAACUAAUUAAGUUAAUUAAGCCCCACUAUAAAUACCCUUAACCCUCAUUAACCUAAAGACAUCUCUCAAAAUAAACUCUUUGUUCUGUCUUAUUUCUCUUUCUACAUGAACUCACCGUUGAAGGCUAGUAAGAACUAGGGUUUGAGGACUGGAAAAAUGGUAGAUUCGUCAUCAAAUUGUUGAGAAACAUUAAGGUAUGGGUUCUAUUCACCUUUGAGAUUUUUUUCUCAAAGGGUUCCUUCAAAAUAGAUUUUAAAAAGUUGAAUUUUCUUAUGGGUUUCCAUUGAAUUACGAAACUGAAGUCAUGGAUUGAAUUGUUAAUGAAUUCAUAGGGUUAUAUUUAGUGGAUUAACAUGUAAUUAAACUUGUUUAUCUAAAUUGAAGUAUAUGAUCCUCUAUCCCUAACCCUAGGUAGUGAUCUUGACCUAUGUUGUAUAGUGAGCAUUCAAUUGAGUUGGUAGUUGAUUAGAUUACUAUCAUAUGGUGCUAUUAUGAUUAAAUUAAGAUGCCUAUCAUACUAGUUCUUGAGAUGUGAUUUAUGUUAUGAAUUAUAAUGUGAAAUUAGCCAUUGUACUUUGUCUCAAGUUGUGAUCUAAAGAUGAAUUGUGUUAUAGAGAUGCAAUUGGCUUAUUCUAUUAUUGGUUAUCAUUGUGCGAUGAUGUUAUUCCCCAAGUAUGGUUGAGUUAUGGGGUGAUGGUAAGACCUUGAUAAUAGACUAUGAGAAAGACUUGGUAAGUCUUAGAAUCUCUAUAUUUACUUCCAAUUGUGAUUAAUUAUUGUUAAGCCACGAUAUUACAUUGGAGUAUGCCUUAUACUAGGAUUAUAGGGUGGUAUGAUGUUUUAUUGAAAUAUCUUGUCUAUGUUGUUAGGUUUAUUAAGGUGUAUGUGCUAUAAAGAUGGUGAAAACUAUCAAUGAGCCUUAAUAUGUUAUAAAAUGCUAAAGUGUUAACCUCACUUAUAUGAAUUGUGAUGAAAGGACUUAUACUCAUACAAUUCUUAUUGAGAUAUUGAUGAUGAUGAUUAUAUAAGGGGUAGACCAUAUGGCCGAAAUUAUAUUAUGAUUGAUAAUUAAUGGCCUAAAGACAUUUCAAAAAGGUACUCUAGCUUAGUACCGAGUGAACUAGAUAGAGAAGUGUCCUUUCCCACAUAGAGAAGGUAGGAACACUACAUUACUCUCGAGAUUUGAGACUAUAAUACAUGGCGCAUGAAGAACAUCCCAACUAAAUCUCCUAGUUCUUUAACUAUGUUGACCCCAUAGGAAUACUAGCUAGUGGAUCCACGUAGGUGCUAUGUUUUAUAUUUUGGUACUACCUUGGCAAGUAGUCCGCCUUAUUUCGGUGUAGGAUUUUAUGACACCGGAUUCCACACUAGCUCAUGUGGUCUAUGUCAGUUAGGGCAAGAUGUUCCCAAAAGGUAAAAUGAAUUAACGGACUUGAACUCUAACUUGGAUAACCUAAGGGGUCUAUCUUAGUCUAGGUAGGAUAUGAAGUCAGACAUUGCACUAGUUAGUCUUGAGGGGAGUCUUAGGAUGAGGUUCUUAUAUGUUUAUGUUAUGACAAUAUAUGAUGUAUAUAUAUGAUGACCAUGUCAUAUUGUUGAUACUAUAUGUUGAUUAGUUGAUUUUAUGAAUAUGACUUGGAUUAUAAUGAUAAUAUACAAUGAAAUACAAGCCUAAAAGCCAUGAUAUAUGAAGUUGGGCAUUGGUCAUGUUUUCUUGUUGAGGAUACUUGAUUGAGUAAGGUUAUGGGGCUUUGCUUGGUCAUUGCACUUGUAGACUUGAUAAGGACUUGUGAGUAGUUGUCUUGCUUAUUAUGAUAUGCUUAACUUUUAUUCACUCUUGUGAUAUUAUUCCUUGAUUUUAGGGUUGUAGUAAAUCAUGAUUUCAAGUAUGUUGGAUAAGUAUUAUUUGUAGAGAUAAUAAGCAUGUUUGGUUGACUAAUUUGACUUACUUGACUUUGAAUUAAGCCCUAAAAGGGGUAGAAUAACAUGCUUUGAUAAAAAGUCCCUUUUAGCAUAUGUAUGUGCAUAAGAUCUCAUACUUAGUACAUGUGGAGUACUAACCCCGUUUUCUUCCCUUGUCCCAAAUAUUUUAGGUUACGGACGUUGAAGAGUUUGGAAGGUGAUAUUGUUGAAGGCUUGGAUUCUUAGUUUCAUCCAUGUGGUUUAUGUCACGACCCAACCCGAUGGGCCGUGACUAGUUCCCGUUUUAGACACUCACAUACAAACCUGCUAAGUAUAACCAACUGAAACUAAGACAAUAUGGAAUUUAAUCAAAUCAAGACAACCCCAACGCCAUAUUUAUAAAGUGGACCUGUCUCAUAAGGAGUCAUAACCAUUCAACCGUAACAACAUACGCGAGCUGACAAGGCCGCCACUAUCCAAAGCAUAAUAGCAUACCCAAGCCGACAAGGCUGCCACUACACAAUACACAAUGAUGUACGCAGCCGACAAGGCUGCCCCUGUACAAGCGGACAUCCCAAACAAACUAUGUCCAGACCAUUAUCCAAAACAUAUAUAUGCAACCCACAUAAUGUCUACAGACCUCUAAGAGUAUAGUAGUGAAACUCGACGGGACAGGGCCCCGCCAUACCCAUAGACAAGCAAAAGACUACACAAAAAGUUAUGUACCAAAAUGACUGGGCUCCGGAACAGUGGAUCUCUCCCAAUCAACAGAGUAGAUAUCGUAGGAGGGAGGAUCAACGAAUUGUGCGUCUACACCUACGUGCAUGAAAUGCAGCCCCCCCUCCCCCGAGGAAAGGGGGUCAGUACGGACAAUGUACUGAGUAUGUAAAGCAUAAGGUAAAGAUGACAGGAUACCAACAUGAUAAGUCGAAAAAAGAUAUCACUACACAUGUACCUUUUAAGUGAAAAUCAUGCAUAUAUACAUCAUACGUACCCGGCCCUCUAGUGAGGGACUCAGUGAAAUAGUCAUCACAUCAUCUCAGUCAUCAUCAUCAUCAUAACCAUCCUCAUCACCAAUCAUAUAUAUAAUAUACAUACCCGACCCUCUAGUGAGGGACUCGGUGACAUAUGCAAGAAACUCCACAUGAACAUUACCCGAUCGGGACUCGGUGAAAUGAUAAAUGACUCUAUGCACGAGCAGAAUAUUAUGAGCAACCAUAUGC